ACGUGAAUCACGAGGGGAUCUUUUCCAGAUCCAGAUUUGAUUCAGCAGGUCUGGGAGGAGGUCUGAAUCUCUGCAUUUCUAACAAGCUCCCUAGUGAUGAUGCU
rnacentral:pre_miRNA from 1 species